CCAACCAUUUGGUGGUUGCCCCGUGGGCCGUGGGCCGCUCUGGCUUUCGGCGCCUCUGUUCGGAGUCUGCGGCUGCCAACGAGGCUCCGUUGAGGCCGCGGCGGUCGGCGUAGGCGGUGAAGGUGAACCGGCGGAGGCAGCGACUGCGAGCCUAAGGCGGAGCCACGCUACCAGCUCGGCGAAGGAUCGGACAGAGGGAAGAGAGAGAUGCCCAUUCUCUUCCGAUAGUGGUACGACCCUGGCGGACCCUGCUUGCCGCCGAUCUGUUCGUGAGAGAUUCGGCCCCCCAGGAUCCCGGCGGUCGAUGUCACGAGGCGAGACCUGCUAUGCACAUUUUUCAUUGAGAGGAAAGCAGCAUUACAAAUGCAUUUAAGUAAACCUACGCUUACCAAGGGGAGUUUCAUUACAGACCUACAGGCCUUAGAGGAGCGAUGAUGCGGCACACUGUGCACAAAUAUUACUCCUUGGAAAGAAGGAACAAGCGUACCAGGAGAUUCGCCAAGCCGGAUGUACAAGUUCUCUAAAAGACUGGCCUUCUCCAUGUCAAUAAGAUGGUGAGUCCAAACCAAACACCUUGAUGCUUCGCCCAUAAUGCCAGCAGCGCUUAGGUUGGAAUAGGCAUAUGCUAUACAGGAGCAGUUUCUGGCGCACUCUGCUGCACACUGGUCAAAGGUUCUAUUCCUAAUGUAUAAGAACUUGUCAGGAAUCUUCAUAUUAGGCAUGGUCAAGAAAUAGUUCUCUGUUCGGCA